GAAUGAUUAUUGUUGUUAAAGAGAUAAUGGAAAGGGAUGCGAGAGCCGUGCUUAGUAUGCCACCUACUAAGAUUAUUGAAUAUAUAAAACUUCAUCUGCUAAGCACAGCUCUCGCAUCCCUUUCCAUUAUCUCUCAUGGCUUCCCGGUUC